AGCACCCACCGACCCGGACACCAUGGGGAGAAAAUCCCAGCGGACGGCAGCAGGUGCGUGCAAAGACACCCAUGACAUUAGCACCAUGCUCCAGCGCCCGGCGGGCUCAAAGAUGGCGACCACGCCUGACCCAGAGACUAUCUCCACAUGCUCGGAUCAGGCUGAGGGGGAUACAUCAGACCAUCGGUUGCCCCAAGACAUACAAGCGGACGCAGAUGCUUUAACACCAGCC